rnacentral:rRNA from 1 species
UGGGGAAUAUUGGACAAUGGGUGAGAGCCUGAUCCAGCCAUCCCGCGUGAAGGACGACGGCCCUAUGGGUUGUAAACUUCUUUUGUAUAGGGAUAAACCUUUCCACGUGUGGAAAGCUGAAGGUACUAUACGAAUAAGCACCGGCUAACUCCGUG